rnacentral:lncRNA from 1 species
UACAGCCGAGUCAUCUUUAAGGAUGAGAUGGUCUGCCUCCAGAAUUUGCCUAGCAUGCAAAAUCCCAGCCUAAGCAGCUUGCACCUCUGCUUCAAAAACUGGGAAUGCAAAGAGAUGAUUUCCCAAGCAGCAAUCAACCUAGAGUCGGAACUACGUAUCAUGAAUACAGCAUCAUCUUGUCAAUGUCGUAUGCUGCCAUUGAAGUUGACCUUCAAAUAUCUCGGAGGAGCAGGCUCCUAAGUGAUGAAUGUCCAUCAGAUCGCUACAUGAGCAAGAUGAAAGUCUCAAAUUUUCGAACACCUGGAGGUCACAUCCAUUAUCUCCAUAAUCAACAUACAGGCUUACUCCACAAUAAGCCUCGCUAAGGUUCUUUAGACUCAAACAUUAAAUUAUUCUUGACAAGCCAAAUGUGAUAGGCUAUAUAUGCCGCCCAAGAAUCUCCCACUGGGAUCCGCUCAUUCAGUGCUCCUCGUACAUACUCUAGGGAUGCUUGAAUACGAAUAAUAGCCUGGAUGACUUGCUGAUGCAACUCUAUGAAAUUCCAGACUUAUCUAGCUCUUGGACACAGAAAUAAGAUGUGCUUUACUGUCUCAUCCUCUAGACCACAGCACGGAAAGAUCGGUUGGAUAUCCAUAUCUCGAUUUUUCAGAAUGGACUUCAUCAAAAGCCGGCUCCAGAUCACCUUUCCAAGAAAGAGAUACACUCGUAGAUGCACCUUCAUCCACCAAAUUCACCUAGUGUCCAUCUAUCUUGUCAGCCCCC